rnacentral:rRNA from 1 species
GACGAACGCUUGCGGCGUGCUUAACACAUGCAAGUCGAACGGAAAGGCCCUGCUUUUGUGGGGUGCUCGAGUGGCGAACGGGUGAGUAACACGUGAGUAACCUGCCCUUGACUUUGGGACAACUUCAGGAAACUGGGGCUAAUACCGGAUAGGAGCUCCUGCUGCAUGGUGGGGGUUGGAAAGUUUCGGCGGUUGGGGAUGGACUCGCGGCUUAUCAGCUUGUUGGUGGGGUAGUGGCUUACCAAGGCUUUGACGGGUAGCCGGCCUGAGAGGGUGACCGGCCACAUUGGGACUGAGAUACGGCCCAGACUCCUACGGGAGGCAGCGGUGGGGAAUAUUGCACAAUGGGCGGAAGCCUGAUGCAGCAACGCCGCGUGCGGGAUGACGGCCUUCGGGUUGUAAACCGCUUUCGCCUGUGACGAAGCGUGAGUGACGGUAAUGGGUAAAGAAGCACCGGCUAACUACGUGCCAGCAGCCGCGGUGAUACGUAGGGUGCGAGCGUUGUCCGGAUUUAUUGGGCGUAAAGGGCUCGUAGGUGGUUGAUCGCGUCGGAAGUGUAAUCUUGGGGCUUAACCCUGAGCGUGCUUUCGAUACGGGUUGACUUGAGGAAGGUAGGGGAGAAUGGAAUUCCUGGUGGAGCGGUGGAAUGCGCAGAUAUCAGGAGGAACACCAGUGGCGAAGGCGGUUCUCUGGGCCUUUCCUGACGCUGAGGAGCGAAAGCGUGGGGAGCGAACAGGCUUAGAUACCCUGGUAGUCCACGCUGUAAACGGUGGGUACUAGGUGUGGGGUCCAUUCCACGGGUUCCGUGCCGUAGCUAACGCUUUAAGUACCCCGCCUGGGGAGUACGGCCGCAAGGCUAAAACUCAAAGGAAUUGACGGAGCCCCGCACAAGCGGCGGAGCAUGCGGAUUAAUUCGAUGCAACGCGUAGAACCUUACCUGGGUUUGACAUGGAUCGGGAGUGCUCAGAGAUGGGUGUGCCUCUUUUGGGGUCGGUUCACAGGUGGUGCAUGGCUGUCGUCAGCUCGUGUCGUGAGAUGUUGGGUUAAGUCCCGCAACGAGCGCAACCCUUGUUCACUGUUGCCAGCACGUUAUGGUGGGGACUCAGUGGAGACCGCCGGGGUCAACUCGGAGGAAGGUGGGGAUGACGUCAAGUCAUCAUGCCCCUUAUGUCCAGGGCUUCACGCAUGCUACAAUGGCUGGUACAGAGAGUGGCGAGCCUGUGAGGGUGAACGAAUCUCGGAAAGCCGGUCUCAGUUCGGAUUGGGGUCUGCAACUCGACCUCAUGAAGUCGGAGUCGCUAGUAAUCGCGGAUCAGCAACGCUGCGGUGAAUACGUUCCCGGGGCU